CAGCACCUCGAGUGGUCAGGAUGAUUAUUGGGCCUAAAGCAUCCGUAGCCGGCUCUGUAAGUUUUCGGUUAAAUCUGUACGCUCAACGUACAGGCUGCCGGGAAUACUGCAGAGCUAGGGAGUGGGAGAGGUAGACGGUACUCGGUAGGAAGGGGUAAAAUCCUUUGAUCUAUUGAUGACCACCUGUGGCGAAGGCGGUCUACCAGAACACGUCCGACGGUGAGGGAUGAAAGCUGGGGGAGCAAACCGGAUUAGAUACCCGAGUAGUCC
rnacentral:rRNA from 1 species